rnacentral:tRNA from 1 species
GAAGAAUUGUGUGUAGUUACUGCUAAUAACUUUGUAUCAAUUGAGUUUGAUGUUCUUCU